rnacentral:rRNA from 1 species
CCCUGCUCAGUGAAUACAAACAGCCGCAGAACUUAUACUGUGCUAAGGUAGCAUAAUCACUUGUCUUUUAAUUAAAGAAUAGAAUGAAUGGAAUAACGAAUUUUAACCUGUUUCACUUUUUUCUAAUAAAACUACUUAAAAGUAAAAACCCUUUUUUACAAAAAAAAGACGAUAAGACCCUAAAGAACUUAACUAAAGUUAAGCUGGGGCGGCUUACAUAAAAAAAUCUUAUUUCAAUUCUUUCAUCCUAAAUUUAUUUCCAAUGUUACCUUAGGGCUAACAGCAUAAUUUAAUUUUACAGCUCUUAUUUAAAAUUAAGAUUAUGACCUCGAUGUUGAAUUAAAAAUCUGUUAAACGAAAAAUAUUAACAAGAAAGUCUGUUCGACU